rnacentral:rRNA from 1 species
GAUGAACGCUAGCGGCAGGCCUAAUACAUGCAAGUCGAACGAUAUCUUCCAGCUUGCUGGAAGAGAAAGUGGCGCACGGGUGCGUAACGCGUAUGCAACCUACCUUUAUCAGGGGGAUAGCCCGGAGAAAUCCGGAUUAAUACCGCAUAACAUCAUUGGAUAGCAUUAUUUUAUGAUCAAACAUUUAUGGGAUAAAGAUGGGCAUGCGUGUCAUUAGCUAGUUGGCGGGGUAACGGCCCACCAAGGCGACGAUGACUAGGGGAUCUGAGAGGAUGCCCCCCACACUGGUACUGAGACACGGACCAGACUCCUACGGGAGGCAGCAGUAAGGAAUAUUGGUCAAUGGAGGGAACUCUGAACCAGCCAUGCCGCGUGCAGGAAGACUGCCCUAUGGGUUGUAAACUGCUUUUAUCCGGGAAUAAACCUGAGUACGUGUACUUAGCUGAAUGUACCGGAAGAAUAAGGAUCGGCUAACUCCGUGCCAGCAGCCGCCGUAAAAC